rnacentral:rRNA from 1 species
UACAGAGGGUGCGAGCGUUAAUCGGAAUUACUGGGCGUAAAGCGUGCGUAGACGGUCAAGUAAGUCGGGUGUGAAAGCCCCGGGCUCAACCUGGGAAUUGCAUUCGAGACUGCGUGGCUAGGGUGCGGAAGAGGGAAGCGGAAUUUCCGGUGUAGCGGUGAAAUGCGUAGAUAUCGGAAGGAACACCAGUGGCGAAAGCGGCUUCCUGGUCCAGCACCGACGUCAGGCACGAAAGCGUGGGGAGC